UACGUAGGGGGCAAGCGUUGUCCGGAUUCACUGGGCGUAAAGCGCGUGUAGGCGGCGCGUCAAGUCGGGUGUGAAAGCCCGGGGCCCAACCCCGGAAUUGCAUCCGAAACUGCCUGGCUGGAGUCCCGGAGAGGAAGGCAGAAUUCCCGGUGUAGGGGUGAAAUCCGUAGAUAUCGGGAGGAAUACCAGCGGCGAAGGCGGCCUUCUGGACGGUGACUGACGCUGAGACGCGAAAGCGUGGGGAGCAAACAGG
rnacentral:rRNA from 1 species